rnacentral:rRNA from 1 species
AACGCGAAGAACCUUACCAGGGUUUGACAUCCCGAGAAUCUUUCCGAAAGGAGAGAGUGCCGCAAGGAGCUCGGUGACAGGUGAUGCAUGGCCGUCGUCAGCUCGUGUCGUGAGAUGUUUGGUUAAGUCCAUUAACGAGCGCAACCCCUUUGCUUAGUUGAAUUUUUCUAGGCAGACUGCCCCGGUAACGGGGAGGAAGGAGGGGAUGAUGUCAGGUCAGUAUUUCCCUUACACCCUGGGCUAGAAACACGCUACAAUGGCCGGUACAAAGGGCAGCCAAGUCGCGAGACGGAGCAAAUCCCAUCAAAACCGGUCCAAGUUCGGAUUGUAGGCUGAAACUCGCCUGCAUGAAGCUGGAAUCGCUAGUAAUGGUAGGUCAGCACACUACCGUGAAUACGUUCCCGGGCCUUGUA